rnacentral:rRNA from 1 species
UACCACUCUUUGUAAAGCUAGAAUUCUAACCUUGUAUCGUAAGCAGGUCAAGGAACAUUUUCAGGUGGGCAGUUUGACUGGGGCGGUCGCCUCCUAAAAGGUAACGGAGGCGCACAAAGGUUUCCUCAUAUCGGUCAGAAAUCGAUAGUAGAGCGUAAAGGCAUAAGGAAGCUUGACUGCGAGACCUACAAGUCGAGCAGAGACGAAAGUCGGUCUUAGUGAUCUGACGGUUCCGAGUGGAAGGGCCGUCACUCAACGGAUAAAAGUUACUCUAGGGAUAACA